rnacentral:rRNA from 1 species
UGUCAACUGGUUGUUGGACGGCUUGCUGUUCAGUAACGAAGCUAACGCGUGAAGUUGACCGCCUGGGGAGUACGGCCGCAAGGUUGAAACUCAAAGGAAACUGACGGGGACCCGCACAAGCGGUGGAUGAUGUGGUUUAAUUCGAUGCAACGCGAAAAACCUUACCCACCUUUGACAUGGCAGGAAUCCUUUAGAGAUAGAGGAGUGCUCGAAAGAGAACCUGCACACAGGUGCUGCAUGGCUGUCGUCAGCUCGUGUCGUGAGAUGUUGGGUUAAGUCCCGCAACGAGCGCAACCCUUGUCAUUAGUUGCUACGAAAGGGCACUCUAAUGAGACUGCCGGUGACAAACCGGAGGAAGGUGGGGAUGACGUCAAGUCCUCAUGGCCCUUAUAGGUGGGGCUACACACGUCAUACAAUGGCCGGUACAAAGGGCAGCCAACCCGCGAGGGGGAGCCAAUCCCAUAAAGCCGGUCGUAGUCCGGAUCGCAGUCUGCAACUCGACUGCGUGAAGUCGGAAUCGCUAGUAAUCGUGGAUCAGCAUGUCACGGUGAAUACGUUCCCGGGUCUUGUACACACCGCCCGUCACACCAUGGGAGCGGGUCUCGCCAGAAGUAGUUAGCCUAACCGCAAGGAGGGCGAUUACCACGGCGGGGUUCGUGACUGGGGUGAAGUCGUAACAAGGUAACCA